CCCGUGCCCAGUGCCCUCCCAGUGCCUGUGUGCACAUGUCAGUCCCGCUGUGACUCCACCGCGCAGGCGCGGACUACAUCUCCCAUCAACCCCCGCGCCUCGCCCCGCCCCCAGCUUCCGGCCGCCGACAGUGACGUCACCCACUCGGAUUUUUCCCCGCGAAAACGGCGGCGGAGCGAUGCAGCGGCGGAUCACGUCUUUCUUCGCCCCCCCCAGGGCUGCAGAUGGCGCCGU
rnacentral:lncRNA from 1 species